UUGAAUUUUUAGUAAAGAUCCUUUCCUUGAAAGGGGAAAAUUACUUCACCUGGUGAACCUUUUCAUGAUGCUAAUGUGAUGGCGUGAAGUGGUGCCACUGCAGUAGCUUGUGGGCAUGAAGGGUUUGUUCCCAGGUGGAGACCAUUCCUUGAUAACUGGGCAUUUCCUCCCCUGGUGGCUCAGGGGCUAUUUAUGCUGAGCAAGAUGGCUCUGGCCAGAACUAUAUUUUGGGAAUGCACACAUGGUUUCUUUGUCAGCUCAACUUCAGCUUGUACUAACAAAGUGGCAGAAGAUGGGAGAGAAUAGGGUCAGAGCACUCCAGGUUUUUGUGUGGCUUCUGUCUGAGAUGUUUCUCAGGAGCAGUCUGACAGGGAAUGGCAGAGCCCCAUUACAUGGCACAGAGGGUGGCUGGCUUCCAGCUCGUCAGUAACUUAUCAUCUGAGUAGACUAUGUCAACAGAUCUUCCUUACAGCAGAGUACACCUGGACUGGAAAGAUGAAACAGCAAGAAUUGCCUUUUUUUGUUCUGUGGAGGAUUUACUUGCUCUCUAGAACCGACUUGUUUGAACUCUCAAGUUAAGCUGAAAAGAUGCUGUGAAAUACUGGAAAAAUGGAAGAAACAGAAACAUGCAAAUGUUCAUUGUUAGCUAACUGCAGGACACUGCAAUCCCACAGCCCGUGUCCUACGUCCUGCUGGAGUACUUCUGUCCAUUGGAGUGUGGAAGGGGUUCAGCUCCCACCAUUAUUUUCAAGUCCCUGAGUCAUCUGAGUCCUUUUUUGUUCUGGUAACCACCCAUGGCUAUUACGGGAUGUGUGUGAACACCCUCUCCCUCCCACAGUCACAAACCUUCCUGGUUGUUCCUCUGACCUCUUCUCAAGCUCACACCCAGCCAAGCACAUAAAUGUCUACAUGCACCACAGUGAUAUCUGAUGCUCUCUUGGUGGCCUCUCAGACCUCACUGCUUAUGUGUGCUGAGAGACAGAAGUGAAUUUAGGCCAUGUCUUUCCUCUCCUCCCCCUUUUUACAAGGAUUAAUAAAUAGCUGGAUUCUUG